rnacentral:rRNA from 1 species
AUUGAACGCUGGCGGCAGGCCUAACACAUGCAAGUCGAGCGGAUGAAGGGAGCUUGCUCCUGGAUUCAGCGGCGGACGGUUGAGUAAUGCCUAGGAAUCUGCCUGGUAGUGGGGGAUAACGUCCGGAAACGGGCGCUAAUACCGCAUACGUCCUGAGGGAGAAAGUGGGGGAUCUUCGGACCUCACGCUAUCAGAUGAGCCUAGGUCGGAUUAGCUAGUUGGUGGGGUAAAGGCCUACCAAGGCGACGAUCCGUAACUGGUCUGAGAGGAUGAUCAGUCACACUGGAACUGAGACACGGUCCAGACUCCUACGGGAGGCAGCAGUGGGGAAUAUUGGACGAUGGGCGAAAGCCUGAUCCAGCCAUGCCGCGUGUGUGAAGAAGGUCUUCGGAUUGUAAAGCACUUUAAGUUGGGAGGAAGGGCAGUAAGUUAAUACCUUGCUGUUUUGACGUUACCAACAGAAUAAGCACCGGCUAACUUCGUG